GCAUUUUGUGUUUUCCAGACUUAGCUGCACAGAUGUGAGAUACUUCAUGGAUAGAACAACAGGAUUCAACAAAAAGAGCCUCUGUUUUUUUUUUUUUUUUUUUCACACCACACCAUGCGGUGCUGACCCGAGACGUCUUGGAUGUCCGGAUGUGUAAUUCAUGAUGCCGCCUACCUACGACUGCGUGGCUCUGUGAGGAGUUUCUCUGCCGGGCGCUGCGGCAGGAAAUGCAACCCGUUCUGAAGGAUGAUGAUUAUUGGUUCUGAAGUGAUCGGGAGUGGAGCAUUAUGCAUGAGUGAUUUACAAAAAUGACAGAAGUUGCCUGAAGCACUGCAGAUGUGCAUCCAGGUCAGAAGCAUCGCUCAAAGACAGCGAGAAUAUCACUGUGACAUCAUUCCUGUCAGCCGCAGCAGCUGUCAUGGCAGCACUUUUUAUUUUUUUAUUUCAAUAUAUUCUGCUUAUUUAUUCCACUCUUCAGCUCCUCCCCUCCUCCUCCUCCCAGACUUAUCUGUGCCUUUGUUCCUGAAUUCAGCCCAUUGGCCCAUCAAUACACUAUCAGAGA